AUGUUGUUCAGCACACACACAUACAAAAAGAUAUCAGUUCCUGGAAGCCUCAAAUGGAUCUCCCAUUCGAAUGUUGAAGAUCUCACCCUCCUGGUGUCUGGGCCUCCGCAGCUUCUUCUUCUUGAAGUAAGCAUCAGUGAGGUGUUUGAGGAUUUUCACGUUGCUGAUAUCAAUUUUGGUGGAGGUGGCAAUGACAAACUUCUGGUGUGUUCUACGCAGAGGAACUCGAUUAACAUUAAGAGGACCAGUCACAUGUAGCAAGCCACUGGCCAGCUGCUUCAGGAAAACCACGCUCUUGCCUCGGUGGCGCCCAGUGAGGAUGAUCAAGACGGUGCCGGGAGUGAUGCUGGCUCGAAGUUUUCUCACGUGCUGACUGAAGGGUUUUCUAAAAAUCCAUUUCCGUGUCCUCCAACUCUUACCAUUUUGCGAAGCUUAACCACCCGGGUACUGCCAUUUUUGUCACCACCAACUGGUUUUGUGACAGUAGCAAGAACCUUCUUCUUUUUCCUCUCAACCUUGGAUUUAGCAGCCGAGUGCUUCCUCUUGUCAGAGCCUUUCUGGAAUACAUAGCAGAUCGGGAGUAUCCACCAAUUCCUCUAACCAGGACAGGGUUUCGGCUGCAGUGGGGCUGCCCCUUCUUGGAUUUUUUAGCCUUCUUCACCUUCUUUUUAACCGUGCCAGUGGCAUCAGCCAUCUUGGCUUCAGGUUUCUCCACUUUAGUACUGGGCUUCUCAGGUUUUUCACCUGCCAUCUUGCAAGAUGGGAAAGAACCUUAUUGAUGUUAUUAUUCUUAGCUCAGGUUUAUGACCUAUAAUGUUUAUAUUCAUUGUAUCUGGCACCUGUACAUGGCAUAUCUUAAAUCUUCUUACUCCCCUCCCCCUUUGCCCUCAGUGUUUUGGCCCCCUUCCAAUUUUCAAGAGAUUUAUCCCGUUGUUUCUUUCUAUCCAUCCUUUAUUUUACCCUUUGUACUUUGCCCUAUUCAAAUGAGACAUGCUGUGUUGUAUUUAAUCUUGUGUGUCUGAUUUAUUUUAUUCAACAUUAUGUUUUCUAGGUGCAUUUAUUUUCCUACAAAUGUCUUGAAUUUAUCCUUCUUUAUAGCCAAGAAGUGUUCUAUUAUAUAAAGAUACCCCAUUUUCUUUUUCUGUUCAUCUGUUGAUGGUUAUAUAGGCUGCUUCCAGGAUUUAGCUAUUAUGAAUUGUGCUGCUAUAAACAUUAGUAUGCCCAUAUCACUGUAAUAUGAUAUAUUUAGCUUUUUUGGAAAGAUAUUUGGAAGGGAAAUAGCUGGGUCAAAUGGAAUUUCUAAUUUUAGUUCUUUGAGAAAUCUCUGUACUGAUUUCCAUAGUGGUCGUAGUAGUUUACAUUUCCACUAACACUGUAGGAGUGUUUGUUUACCUGCAGCCAUGUCAGCAUUUGCUAUUCUUUGACUUCUUGAGGAUUGCUUUUCUUUCAGAUAAAAGAUGAAAUCUUAGCAUUGUUCUAAUUUGCAUUUCCGUAAUAGCCGGAAAUGUUGAACAUUUUUUCAUAGAUUAGUAGCCCACUGAUAUUUCAUUUUCUGAGAAAUGUCUAUUCAUUUCACUGGACUGUUUCUUG
rnacentral:lncRNA from 1 species